GCCGUUUCCGCUUCCGGCCGAAGCUGCGGGAAGAUGGCGGCGGCCGUAACAACGCGGGCCGUGACGGUCGCCUUCGGACGGCUGGUGUCCGCGUGCAGCCGCAGCGUCCUGAGAGCGUCAGGGCCCGGAGCAGCUUCCCUGGGGUCCACUUCCCGAAGGUUCGGUUCGCAGAGCACGGCGGUUCCGGAAGGAUACGUUCCUAAAACAUCGCUGAGUUCACCACCUUGGCCAGAAGUUGUCCUGCCAGACCCCGCUGAGGAGACCAGACGCCAUGCAGAGGUCGUGCGGAAGGUGAACGAGCUGAUCGCCACGGGCCAGUACGGCCGGCUCUUCGCCGUGGUGCACUUCGCCAGCCAGCAGUGGAAAGUGACCUCCGAGGACCUGAUUUUAAUCAAUAACAAGUUAGACAUCGCGUGUGGAGAGAGGAUACGGCUGGAGAAGGUCCUGCUGGUUGGAGCUGACAACUUCACGUUACUCGGCAAGCCGCUCCUCGGAAAGGAUCUCGUUCGUGUAGAGGCCACAGUCAUUGAAAAGACAGAAUCAUGGCCAAAAAUCAAUCUGAAAUUUAGGAAAAGGAAAAACUACAAGAGGAAAAAAGGGCCGUCCCCGCAGGAGCUUCUGCUGGAAGUCACCUCGUGGAGGCUGCUCAAGGCUGGGCCCGUGGGCUGCGGCGGCCUGUCUGGGGAAACCUGUAGCCCUCACAGUCCUUGGUCACCACGGGAACUGCUGGCCUGAACUACCAGUAGUGGGGAGUUAGUCAAAUACCCUGACACCAUGGGGUGGCCUUUACCACAGUGAUCGUGAACCCGCAGACUGUCCUCCGGAUAAACACCAUCGAGAUCGCUCCACGUUUGUGCUGACCACGAAGGCCAUGUUUACAGAAUAUAAAAAUAAACGCCUGUUUUCUGGA